CGACCGGCGCACGGGUGAGUAACACGUAUCCAACCUGCCGAUGACUCGGGGAUAGCCUUUCGAAAGAAAGAUUAAUACCCGAUGACAUAGUUCUUCCGCAUGGUAGAACUAUUAAAGAAUUUCGGUCAUCGAUGGGGAUGCGUUCCAUUAGCUUGUUGGCGGGGUAACGGCCCACCAAGGCAUCGAUGGAUAGGGGUUCUGAGAGGAAGGUCCCCCACAUUGGAACUGAGACACGGUCCAAACUCCUACGGAAGGCAGCAG
rnacentral:rRNA from 1 species